AUUGAACGCUGGCGGCAUGCCUUACACAUGCAAGUCGAACGGUAACAGGUUAAGCUGACGAGCGGCGACCGGGUGAGUAAUACAUCGGAACGUGCCCAGUAGUGGGGGAUAGCCCGGCGAAAGCCGGAUUAAUACCGCAUACGACCUAAGGGUGAAAGGGGGGGAUCGCAAGACCUCUCGCUAUUGGAGCGGCCGAUGUCAGAUUAGCUAGUUGGUGGGGUAAAAGCUCACCAAGGCGACGAUCUGUAGCUGGUCUGAGAGGACGACCAGCCACACUGGGACUGAGACACGGCCCAGACUCCUACGGGAGGCAGCAGUGGGGAAUUUUGGACAAAGGGCGCAAGCCUGAUCCAGCCAUGCCGCGUGCGGGAAGAAGGCCUUCGGGUUGUAAACCGCUUUUGUCAGGGAAGAAAUCCUUUGGGUUAAUACCUCGGGGGGAUGACGGUACCUGAAGAAUAAGCACCGGCUAACUACGUG
rnacentral:rRNA from 1 species